rnacentral:piRNA from 1 species
UGUGUCUUGUUGAGAGCUUGUCUCAGAAGC